rnacentral:lncRNA from 1 species
CCUGUGGUGUAGGCCUUGGGGCUGCUCUGGUGCAAUGAUGGAUCCUCAGGCUCCCGGGGCUUGUGCCCAAGCAUGGCUCAGCAAUCAUUUUGGGGCUCAGUGAGGGUUGUUUUAGGGGAAGAACUGCUGUUGUCCAGGGAAAAGUAUUUAUAUCCUCUCUGUUUCUGCACGCUACUUGGAUAAGAGACUCUUUAUGGGCAGGGGGAGAGGUAAAUUCAAGCAUGCUAGCCAUGUCCCUGCUCUGAAUCCUCUUUCAGAUAAGUCUGUCUUUUGGUUUACAUUAUAAGCAAGUGUAGGAAGCUGAGCCUCCCAAUGUGUGCAGCUAAAUAUAAACCCUGCUGCUUGCUUUCUGUCAGAGAACCCAGGGCCUUUCUAUCCUCUGCUGCCUCUCAGCUUAUCAAAGGAGUAUGUUAAGUAGAAAUUCAUCCCCUUGCCAUUUCCUCAGUGGGCUUCUACAUGUGCAUGCUUACUGGGCUGAGCAGGGAGGGAGUGUGUGGCCAGGAAGGCCUCAGUGCUUGUUUGGUUUAAGGAGAGACUGCAGGAUGGGAUCGGCGUCUCCUUAAUGAGGCUUUUGUGUUCAGAUAAAAAUGGAAACAAAACCUUAAAUCUUCCAGAGGAACAGAAGGGUAGGAAUACCUAAAUGAUAAAACUCUUCAUCUGCAUAUACGAAGGUGACAAUAUAAGAUGCUGGAAAGUAUUCCCUGCACCUCCACUGUGCUGUGGGGUAGGAGGAUGGUGUCUGACACGGCAUGUACAGAGACAUGUUGAAUCUCACUCAUGUUUCACUUCACACAAUGCAAACAUCACAAGAAGGAAACUUAGCUGCCUGGCUCUGUACUUGUAUUACCUAUAAGAAAUUUGUGUAGUCUUAGACUCAGCACCAAACUCCAACUCAAAAGGGAGUUACAUCUUGUUACAUCUUGGGGGAUUCUCCUUCACCCUCUCAGGAGAAUAAAUGUUGAAAAUUCUUGGUGUUAUAUCUGUGU